CCGCGACCGGCCCCCGGUUAAGGUAAGUAACGCUACAGUUUCUUCCCUUCUGUUUCUUAGGACAUGACUUUGCUAUUAUCUGACCUGGCCUACUUGUUCAGUGGUUUGCAUGUGUUUGAUCAUGCUACCCUUCGGGCAUAACCUUCUAUUGGAUUAUUAUAUAUUAGGGUCACCUGAAUCCUGAGCAGACCAUGCUGACACUGCUCAGCAAACUAGAAACUGAGAGCUAAAAACAAUGAAAGUUAAUCCAGUGUCAUUACAGAAGGAAAGGAGAUACAUCACAUUAGGACACCUUGCAGAUGCUGUGAACUUCUCCCAUUUAUUGGCGCAUAAAUAUUUAAUAUUUAGGUGCAAGGAGCACUGAGGCGAAAAAGAACCAGCAUCCAAUUUAGCCUUUGUAAAGACAAACUGAUUUCAAGUCAUUGUUCCACAUGUAUAUGUAUAUUGCAUCCUUCUAAUAUGGCAGGUUUAUGUUUGAAAUAUGUCUUAGUGUCAGGUUUCCUGCUCAUUGUAUGUGUCAUUCUAGUACACAUUGUAAUGCUCUGCUACAUUCCACUGGCAAUACUGAUAAAGGAAACUGGACUAGCCAGAUGAUGCAGAUAUAGCGUUGCAAGCCAAUGAUGUUUUGGCAUUUCCAGGACUGGAUUUAUCCUCUCUACUGAACCAAUGCCAGUUUCCAUAAUGUAAAAGUAAAUGCUGAGCAGCCAGGAACUCGGGAUAACUAUACAAGAGCAAUUGAAAAAAAGGGAAUCAAAAUCCAGCCUGCUGCUUUUAAUCAUCUGAAAUGUUCAAUAAAAUUCGCAGCAAUGUGUGAUGUGUAUGAUUGUAUCACAGACUUCCACAGCAAUAGAACUAAUCGUGUGCCACACAGCAUAUAAACACACACACAUACAGCCACAGUCAGACAAACAAAAAUACAGAGACCGGUUCGUAAAGAAACAUAUACAUACAGUCA